AAAGGGCGUGUCCGUGGGCGAAGGUGCCCCCGCGUGCAUGCCGAAGCUCGUGACUUCGCGAAUCCCGGGCCGGGGCGGUGUCGGAGCCCCACCCCCGGCCGUCCAAGCCACUCCGCAACCAGACGUGGCGGCCAGGCUGGAGAGGGGCGGGGGACUGGGGGCUGGGUCCCCGCGGAACUUUCAGAUUGGAAGUGUGUUGGGUCUCCCAGAAACCCAGGUUUUCUUUUCGGAUUCUCCGCGAAGAGGUGGAGAAACAGGAUGGGAACCGGAUUGGUUGCACUGUGGCACGGAAUUGGAACCUUCCUGAAAGAGGUUGGGGCAGGCAGUGAC